UGUUUAUCCGCCUGAAAGAC
rnacentral:misc_RNA from 1 species